UGGUUAAAGAGCAAACUUAAGUUUGCAUCCAA
rnacentral:piRNA from 1 species